rnacentral:lncRNA from 1 species
GUCCAGAUGUCCAUCCAGGAAUAAACUCCACUGCAUGGAGCCCCAUGGUGAGACGGACUGCAGGCUUGCAGCCCCACACCUAUGCACCGGCAACGUGCCCCCAGGAACACAGGACCAACUCCAAAUUUGGGAAUGAAGAUAAUGUUCAGGGGAACACAGGACCAACUCCAAAUUUGGGAAUGAAGAUAAUGUUCAGGUUCGGAUUGCAGUCACCUCUUUGCUAGAGACUGCUGGAUUU